rnacentral:rRNA from 1 species
ACACGACUACAUUAGAUACCCGUGUAGUCCAGGGUGUAAACGCUGCGGGCUUGGUGUUGGGGGUCCUUUGAGGGCGCCCAGUGCCGGAGAGAAGUUGUUAAGCCUGCUGCUUGGGGAGUACGUCCGCAAGGAUGAAACUUAAAGGAAUUGGCGGGGGAGCACCGCAACGGGAGGAGCGUGCGGUUCAAUUGGAUUCAACGCCGGACAACUCACCAGGAGCGACGGUUGCAUGAAGGCCAGGCUGAUGACCUUGCCUGAUUUUCCG